CCACAGGUGCCGCGAGGCUGUCGCGGAGCCCGGGACUGGCCCCCACAUCCCCGGGCGCGGCGCGGAGUGGUGCGGAGGGCGCGGACACGGAGAGAAAGAGGAAGUGUGAAGUGUGACGGCUGACGAGGAGGGUGGGAGGAGACGAGGGAGUGCUGCAACUCUGGAAAAACAAGUCAGCUCUUCUGUGGAGCUCGUCACGCAUUCACGGGCCUUUUGCUAUCAUUCUGCCUCAAAAUUGUCCGGAAUCCGCCCUCUCCUUCCCAUUGCACUGCUCCAGCCCUAGCCCAGACACCUUCCGCCCCGAGCUUCGCGGGAGUCUGUUCCCUGGGCUCGCCUCGCCCAUCCUCGGUGCUGCGGACUGGAUGAGUUACCGUCCGUUCGGCUGAAAAGCCCGGACAGCACCUCACCUUCGAGAUCCCGCUUCCUUCACACUGGGUCGCCCCACCAGCCGCCUGGGUUCCAGUUUAGCACUGCCGACGACUUGCUGUGCCUGGCAUGUCCUUGCUCCCAAAUGUCACAUCUAUGAAGCCUCACCCUAAAACCCUGUAAGAGCGAUUCCCUCUUUCACCCACAUGCCCGUUAGCCUUUAUUUAGCACACCUUAAAUUGUAUUCAUUUUGCAUCUCAAUCUAGUUCACAGCCUGGUAUAUAACAACUAAUAAAUGUGAGUUGACUGAUAAAGACUAUAAAAUGAUAAAUUUGUUAAGAGCUGUAAUGCUGAGCGUAAUGCCUGGGCAUAAUGGAUGUUCAUAAUUUUCUGAAUGAUAGAAUGGAUGAAUCAUCUAGUCAUUUACAGAUAAGGAAAGGGGAGUCCCACGGGAUUAGGUGACCUUCCUUGAAGAGCCACGGGUUUCCCAUAUCGAAAUGCUAUUCAUUACCCGAGUCACCUAGGUUCUUACAAAGGAAGCGAGAAAAUUGCUUUUGUUGGGCCAUGCCCCUUUUGCAGAGGUUCCUAAGUAUAGUCGCCAGAAUUUUUUUAAUGGCCUAAAGUAAAAAAAGAAAUGCUAAAAUUUUCACGAAGCUAAAUGUAAUCAAUGUAAAGG
rnacentral:lncRNA from 10 species